UACGUAGGGUGCAAGCGUUAAUCGGAAUUACUGGGCGUAAAGCGUGCGCAGGCGGUUUUGUAAGUCUGUCGUGAAAUCCCCGGGCUCAACCUGGGAAUGGCGAUGGUGACUGCAAGGCUAGAGUUUGGCAGAGGGGGGUAGAAUUCCACGUGUAGCAGUGAAAUGCGUAGAUAUGUGGAGGAACACCGAUGGCGAAGGCAGCCCCCUGGGCCAAUACUGACGCUCAUGCACGAAAGCGUGGGGAGCAAACAGG
rnacentral:rRNA from 1 species